rnacentral:rRNA from 1 species
AGCGAACGCUGGCGGCAGGCCUAACACAUGCAAGUCGAACGAACUCUUCGGAGUUAGUGGCGGACGGGUGAGUAACACGUGGGAACGUGCCUUUUGGUUCGGAAUAACUCAGGGAAACUUGUGCUAAUACCGAAUGUGCCCUUCGGGGGAAAGAUUUAUCGCCAUUAGAGCGGCCCGCGUCUGAUUAGCUAGUUGGUGAGGUAACGGCUCACCAAGGCGACGAUCAGUAGCUGGCCUGAGAGGAUGACCAGCCACACUGGGACUGAGACACGGCCCAGACUCCUACGGGAGGCAGCAGUGGGGAAUCUUGCGCAAUGGGCGAAAGCCUGACGCAGCCAUGCCGCGUGAAUGAUGAAGGUCUUAGGAUUGUAAAAUUCUUUCACCGGGGACGAUAAUGACGGUACCCGGAGAAGAAGCCCCGGCUAACUUCGUA